rnacentral:rRNA from 1 species
UACGAAGGGGGCUAGCGUUGCUCGGAAUCACUGGGCGUAAAGCGCACGUAGGCGGCUUUUAAGUCAGGGGUGAAAUCCUGGAGCUCAACUCCAGAACUGCCUUUGAUACUGAGAAGCUUGAGUCCGGGAGAGGUGAGUGGAACUGCGAGUGUAGAGGUGAAAUUCGUAGAUAUUCGCAAGAACACCAGUGGCGAAGGCGGCUCACUGGCCCGGUACUGACGCUGAGGCACGAAAGCUAGGGGAGCAACGG